rnacentral:rRNA from 1 species
UACAGAGGUGGCAAGCGUUGUUCGGAAUUACUGGGCGUAAAGGGCGAGUAGGUGGCCAUCUAAGUCAGACGUGAAAUCCCCCGGCUUAACCUGGGAACUGCGUCUGAUACUGGACGGCUUGAGUAUGGGAGAGGAACGUAGAAUUCCAGGUGUAGCGGUGAAAUGCGUAGAUAUCUGGAGGAACACCGGUGGCGAAGGCGGCAUCCUGGACCAAUAUUGACGCUGAGGAGCGAAAGCUAGGGGAGCAAACGGG